rnacentral:rRNA from 1 species
AUUGAACGCUGGCGGCAGGCCUAACACAUGCAAGUCGAACGAGAGGCGGACGGGUGAGUAAUAUCUGUGAAACUGCCCGAUGGGGGGGGAUAACUCCUGGAAACGGUAGCUCAUACAGCAUACGAUCUGAUGUGCCCAGAUGGGAUUAGCUUGUAGGUGUGGUAACGGCUCACCUAGGCGCCGAUCCCUAGCUGGUCUGUGAGGAUGACCAGCCACACUGGAACGGAGACACGGUCCAGAAUCCUACGGGAGGCAGCAGUGGGGAAUAUUGCACAAUGGGCGCAAGCCUGAUGCAGCCAUGCCGCGUGUAUGAAGAAGGCCUUCGGGUUGUAAAGUACUUUCAGCGGGGAGGCGUUACCCGCAGAAGAAGCACCGGCUAACUUCGUGCCAGCAGCCGCGGUAAUAC